GCGCCUUUGCGGCUGCCUACGUAUCUCCAAGAACUCUUCGGGGGAUGGGGAGAAUCAGGUCUUUCGUAGUUCCUUCCGGGAUGCGAACUUCGUGCUCGGCUGGUGCGGAAUUCAUCUCCGUCUUGAUGUUAGUGCGGAAUUCCUUUCCGUCUUGGUGCGGAAUUUAUUCCCGGCUUGCUGCUGGGGCAGAAUUCAAUUCUGACUUAAUUUUGAUUGUGGAAUUCAUUUC
rnacentral:lncRNA from 1 species